UUAAAUUGAAGAGUUUGAUCAUGGCUCAGAUUGAACGCUGGCGGCAGGCCUAACACAUGCAAGUCGAACGGUAGCACAGAGAGCUUGCUCUCGGGUGACGAGUGGCGGACGGGUGAGUAAUGUCUGGGAAACUGCCUGAUGGAGGGGGAUAACUACUGGAAACGGUGGCUAAUACCGCAUAACGUCGCAAGACCAAAGAGGGGGACCUUCGGGCCUCUUGCCAUCAGAUGUGCCCAGAUGGGAUUAGCUAGUUGGUGAGGUAACGGCUCACCAAGGCGACGAUCCCUAGCUGGUCUGAGAGGAUGACCAGCCACACUGGAACUGAGACACGGUCCAGACUCCUACGGGAGGCAGCAGUGGGGAAUAUUGCACAAUGGGCGCAAGCCUGAUGCAGCCAUGCCGCGUGUAUGAAGAAGGCCUUCGGGUUGUAAAGUACUUUCAGCGGGGAGGAAGGUGUUGUGGUUAAUAACCGCAGCAAUUGACGUUACCCGCAGAAGAAGCACCGGCUAACUC
rnacentral:rRNA from 1 species